CACGCUUUCUUUUGCCACCCCUGCUGCGUUUCUUGUCUUGGCCUGCUCUAUUUUCUUCAGUCUCAUUAGAGGCAACUGCAUGAUCGAGAGAUUGCUGAGGUGGGAGAACUUUUACUGUAAUUGGAUCGAGCAUGCCUUGACCUGAGACACCUAAUCCCAUCCCUUCACGAUAACCCAUGCUGGCCAUCAUCUUGGAAGCGAUGCCCCGUGUGUGAUGUUCCCACUUUGCAAACAAUGCUGUAUCUGUCUGAAUACCCCUUGCUGUUGUUGCGGCAUCCAAGAAUCCCAGACCUUGAUGGCCUGUUUCAUUCCCUCCAUGUUCCUCUUCUUCACUGGAUUCAGAUGUUCCCAAGCUCAAAUCCUCAUCUUCAUCAUCACUCAUUUCAGCAUAUUCAGAUAUAGAGAGCGCAUCAGUCCUGAGUUUAGCCGAGCCCCCGUCAUCUUGGAAAACAACCUGAGCCAGUGCAAGCUCAUCAUCCCAUGACUCGAGCUCUGCUUUCCUCCAGAUGCCAGGAUGACCUCCAGAAACUGCCCAGAUGCUGGAGCCUGCCAAAGAUUGUUGCCAUAUGGUGGGAACAUACUGCUUCAAUGAUGAAGUAGGAAGAACCAUUCCUGUGAAAGUGAUUUUGCAUUAGAAGUGCAUAUUCAGCUUUGAUUUAAGACAACAGGAUCGCUGCACACAUUUCCACCUCAGCCAAUAAGAGACAUGAACUUAAAUCUACAAGUGGCCAUCCAUUUUCCCAUGUUAGAGAUUGGAAGCAAACUUGAAAGCUUCAUGUUGAGCACAAACAUAACAUAAAAAUACAAAGGGUACAAAAGUGAAGGUCAUGAACAGGUUGCAACUCAGGUAGAUGAACCUAAAGAGCAAUAACAUACCAUGUGAUAAGCGGCAGUUACUACCAAAUCGACAUCUUUGCUGUAGAAAGAACUUGCACAUCUGCACUUUGGUGGACUUGUAUUAGUAAGUUUUGUUAAGAAGUCUUCCAGGUUUCUAAGUGAGAUAUGCACAGGAAACAAAAAUCGCAGUAGAUGGACGCACAGCAACCAAAACCAGCAACACUUAAAACUAUCAGAAUUCUGUUGCUUAAACAACACCACAGUGAGACUAUCAGAAACUCUGUUGCAGGAUGCAGUGCAGACAGGAGCACUAAAAGUGAUGACAGCAGCGAGUUUCAGUUAUUUACAGUACAAAACAAUUGUUUAAACUGGCAAAAGAAUAAGGGAAGACAUCUGUGAUCUGUUGAUCCUUCUUUCACUGAAAUCAAGUGAUCCAGACUCCGUAGAAGGGUACUUUAACGAGUCUUGGCAGGUCCUCCAUGUCCAGUUGGUAAGGUAAUUGUUUUAGAAUGCGAUUGCUAAGGUAGGUUCUUUAGAAUGCAAUUGCAAGCAUUGUCCAUAACAAUCACUAGCCUGCUUCAAAUGGGAGACAUGAGCAAGGUUAAGGUCUAUGACAAAUAAACAUCAUCGAUAAGAUCAGGCCAUAACUUUAUAGCAGUUUCCACAUACACGACCACCCAAAAAUGCCUGAAAAUAGCUCCACUGAGGCAAGAUUAUAGGCAGAGACUGCUUUGAGUCAACAACCAUUCUCCAAGAGACCAAGAAUGCCAGCUUGAUUCAAUAAACCCCUAAGGUUUGACAGGCACGCGCUUCACCGUAGGGCAGGUUGCGAAACAUCAGAAUUUAAGCCACCUUUUCUCUUUCUCCUUGUUGACGACCGCGCUUGAGGCCGAAGCAUGAGCAGCCUCAGCAUCUGCCAAAGCCUUGCGGGUUUCAUUCAACUUCCUCGAAGCUGCUUCAUAUACAGCCUUAUCCUUGCGAUUGCGGUUCACCAUCUCUUCCAGCUUCUCAACCUGGUUUCUUAGCUCUUUUACUUCAUCAUCAUAUGCGACCAAGGAUCGUCUGUCCUCUUUCUUGGUGAUUAUCAGAGCCUCAGCUGUCCCCUUUUUAAGUCUGCUCCUGGAACCAUUUGCAACAUCUUGCCCGGCAAGCUGGGUAUUGAUAAAGCUGAAAAUAUCUGAUCCCUGCUCUUCAGCUUUAGCAGCCCGGUGUGCUUCUGCAUACUUCUUGUCACGCUUUCUUUUGCCACCCCUGCUGCGUUUCUUGUCUUGGCCUGCUCUAUUUUCUUCAGUCUCAUUAGAGGCAACUGCAUGAUCGAGAGAUUGCUGAGGUGGGAGAACUUUUACUGUAAUUGGAUCGAGCAUGCCUUGACCUGAGACACCUAAUCCCAUCCCUUCACGAUAACCCAUGCUGGCCAUCAUCUUGGAAGCGAUGCCCCGUGUGUGAUGUUCCCACUUUGCAAACAAUGCUGUAUCUGUCUGAAUACCCCUUGCUGUUGUUGCGUAAAUUGUUUGCUCAUAUCAAAAAACCCCAUCAACAAGCACUGAGGAGUGAUUGUUUAAAAAAGAGUGACAUUUUAUAGGGGUGUGAGGAUCAUCCUUGGUAGUUAGCAUCCUACAUAGAAAACUGCUUGGUAAAGGUUUGCCAGGGGAAUAACAAUCGAACUCAGAUAAAAAUAAGAAUAACCCACUCCUGGGCGAGGCAACUUGACUUCAGAUGUGGUACAGUAUAACCCAUGGCUUAUCUUCAACCGAAAAUGACACCAACUGUUAGUUGGUGUAGAGUGAAAUAAAUGGUAAAGUGCUAGUUUACCAUAUACCAUACUCUAUUUUAAGUAUGUUUUUCUCUUCCCCUGAAAUCAGAUACCAGUGAAUCCUGAAAAUACUGACAUACCGAGCAGAGUUGAAUUCACAAUGAAUGAAGCUACUGAAGAUGUUCUUUCUACCUGCAAUAUUAUUCUCCAUAAAUUUUGUUAAUACACCUUAAAUCUAAUGUUCUGUAGUUUUUUUGUGAACAAAAAAAAGAAUUGCACUUAAUUCGCUUAUCUUGUAAGUCUUGCUGUAUAGAGAAUUUGCAAACCUGACCUGAAAAGGUAUGCCAAACAAACAAAAACUCCAACCCUACUCCAAAAAUAAAUAAAUAAAUAAAAGAACACGACAAAGAAGAAGGAGAAGGAGAAGAAGAAGCAGAGAGAGAGAGAUUAAACUCAAGAAAGCAUAUUAUAAGUUUUAGAUGCUUCCCAAUGAUAACAGGGAACAAAAUAAUGUUUAAACAAUUUUAUUGAACUACCAUGAGUAAUAAAAUGGCAGCAGUACG
rnacentral:lncRNA from 1 species